AGUUUGAUCCUGGCUCAGGACGAACGCUGGCGGCGUGCCUAAUACAUGCAAGUCGAGCGAACAGAAGGGAGCUUGCUCCCGGAUGUUAGCGGCGGACGGGUGAGUAACACGUGGGUAACCUGCCUGUAAGACUGGGAUAACUCCGGGAAACCGGAGCUAAUACCGGAUAGUUCCUUGAACCGCAUGGUUCAAGGAUGAAAGACGGUUUCGGCUGUCACUUACAGAUGGACCCGCGGCGCAUUAGCUAGUUGGUGGGGUAAUGGCUCACCAAGGCGACGAUGCGUAGCCGACCUGAGAGGGUGAUCGGCCACACUGGGACUGAGACACGGCCCAGACUCCUACGGGAGGCAGCAGUAGGGAAUCUUCCGCAAUGGACGAAAGUCUGACGGAGCAACGCCGCGUGAGUGAUGAAGGUUUUCGGAUCGUAAAGCUCUGUUGUUAGGGAAGAACAAGUGCGAGAGUAACUGCUCGCACCUUGACGGUACCUAACAAGAAAGCCACGG
rnacentral:rRNA from 1 species